UACGUAGGGGGCAAGCGUUGUCCGGAAUCAUUGGGCGUAAAGGGCGCGUAGGCGGCCUGCUAAGUCGAACGUGAAAUCCCCGAGCUCAACUCGGGAACUGCGUCUGAUACUGGAUGGCUUGAGUUCGGGAGAGGGAUGCGGAAUUCCAGGUGUAGCGGUGAAAUGCGCAGAUAUCAGGAGGAACACCGGUGGCGAAGGCGGGUCUCUGGGCCGAUACUGACGCUGAGGAGCGAAAGCGUGGGGAGCGAACAGG
rnacentral:rRNA from 1 species